rnacentral:RNase_P_RNA from 1 species
GCGCCAGACAAUCGCUCUUUAAUUAAAAAGGGAGGAAAGUCCGAACACUCAUCUGCCGUAAGGCGGAUAGCAUGGUAGUGGGUAACGCCCACACAUUCCCCGAUACAAGGAAUGAGCGCUGCGAACAGAAACGCCGGAGGCGAAAGCCAAAGGCCCCUGAAUGAUUUCAUUUGGGGUGAUUCCUAUCGUAAGACAGGAAUGCAACGGCUAAAUGCGUACCAGAGUGCAAGGCCGUGUUUCGUCGCAAGACGAAAAGUGCCGCUCGAGUCGUACAGUAAUGUACGACCCAGAUAAAUGAUUGUCUGCACCUUCGGUGCAACAGAAUUCGGCUUAUCGGCGCAAAU